GCAAACUUGGUCAUUUAGAGGAAGUAAAAGUCGUAACAAGGUUUCCGUAGGUGAACCUGCGGAAGGAUCAUUAUCGAAGCUGAACACAAGUUGUCGCUGGCUCCCUAGGGGCAUGUGCACACUUGUAAGUCUUCAACUUUUCCCCUUUGUGCACUUUUGGCUAGUACGAUAUACUUGAAGCGAGGAACUUUUCGCAAGAGAAGUUUUGUUGACCUUUAGUAUGUGCUAUGCAACCUUUUUAUAAACGCAUGUCUUUGAAAGUCUUUAUUGGGUCUUUGUACCUAUAAAAUCUAUACAACUUUUAGCAACGGAUCUCUUGGCUCUCGCAUCGAUGAAGAACGCAGC
rnacentral:misc_RNA from 1 species